rnacentral:rRNA from 1 species
UUUUAACAUGCAAGUCGAGCGGUAACAGACAUAAAGAUUCAGCUUGCUGAAUCCGGUGCUGACGAGCGGCGAACGGGUGAGUAACGCGUAGGAAUCUACCCAGUAGCGGGGGAUAGCCCGAGGAAACUCGGAUUAAUACCGCAUACGCCCUGAGGGGGAAAGGGGGCAAUUUAUUGCUCUCACUAUUGGAUGAGCCUGCGUAAGAUUAGCUUGUUGGUAGGGUAAUGGCCUACCAAGGCGACGAUCUUUAGCUGGUCUGAGAGGACGAUCAGCCACAUUGGGACUGAGACACGGCCCAGACAUCUACGGAUGGCAGCAGUUAAGAAUAUUGGACAAUGGGGGCAACCCUGAUCCAGGUAUACCGCGUGUGUGAAGAAGGCCCUAGGGUUGUAAAGCACUUUAAUCAGAGAAGAAGCAUUUUAAGUUAAUACCUUAAUUUGUUGACGUUAACUGAAGAAUAAGGACCGGCUAACUCCGUGCCAGCAGCCGCGGUAAUACGGAGGGUCCAAGCGUUAAUCGGAAUUACUGGGCGUAAAGCGCGCGUAGGCGGUUUAGCAAGUUGUAUGUGAAAGCCCUGGGCUCAACCUAGGAACUGCAUCCAAAACUACUAAGCUAGAGUGCGAGAGAGGAGAGUAGAAUUUCUGGUGUAGCGGUGAAAUGCGUAGAUAUCAGAAGGAAUACCAAUGGCGAAGGCAGCUCUCUGGCUCGUCACUGACGCUGAGGUGCGAAAGCGUGGGUAGCAAACAGGAUUAGAUACCCUGGUAGUCCACGCCGUAAACGAUGACAACUAGCCGUUGGGCAGAUUUAACUGU